AUGGCCAAUAGGGCACAUUUACUACAAUUGGAAAGAUACAGCAAAGAUUACCAUAGCCCCUGUGCAAGGCUGGCAUGAAAAUCCGUGAAGCAGUACAUAGUCUU